rnacentral:rRNA from 1 species
AAUCAACGCUGGCGGCGUGCCUAACACAUGCAAGUCGAGCGAGAAAGUGUAGCAAUACAUGAGUACAGCGGCGCACGGGUGAGUAACACGUGGGUAAUCUGCCCUAGAGUGGGGAAUAACACCGGGAAACCGGUGCUAAUACCGCAUACGAUCACGAUGUUUGCGAAUGUUGUGAUGAAAGGAGCAAUUCGCUCUUGGAGGAGCCCGCGGCUGAUUAGCUAGUUGGUAAGGUAAUGGCUUACCAAGGCAACGAUCAGUAGCCGGUCUGAGAGGACGGUCGGCCACACUGGAACUGAGACACGGUCCAGACUCCUACGGGAGGCAGCAGUGGGGAAUUUUUCGCAAUGGGGGCAACCCUGACGAAGCAACGCCGCGUGGGUGAUGAAGUCUCUUGGGACGUAAAACCCUUUCGACGGGGAAGAAACCGCAAGGUUGACGGUACCCGUAGAAGAAGCCCCGGCUAACUCCGUGC